GUGCUGAAAAGGACUCAACGCCGACAGCUGUCACAUUAAGUUCCCCGAGUCGAAAAUCGAGCGUCGCGGAGCACAUAAGCCUUUUCUGAACCACCCCAGCAAACUGCGGAUCCCAACUGUGUUAUCCGGGUCACGGCAACCUUAUACCAAUGUAGCUACUUUCCAUGUCUGCCCUGAACUGGGCUUGAACCAGAUCAUACAACACAGCAACAUGGACCUUCCAAUGCCUUUCCUUGGACCAAAUGAGAUUCUCAAUUGGAUGCAUCUGUCCACUCCUCGACUCCUCUGUCCUCCAGUGGUCGCCAUAAGUUAGUAGGAGAACGGAGGAGUUUGCUACUCUCCUCGAUAGCCUCCUCCGGUGGAGGAUGCACAAGCGUAUCCUAGCGCGGAAGAGAUUUGAAAUCAGCUGGAUUGUUUUUAGUUUUUUGGGGGGGUGAUUCUGUAAGACUCCUUUUUAUAUGACUGAAUUCUUUCAACGGGUGCUUUGAGGGGCCACCCGAAAGGGCCUGAAAAGGGGGAGGGCUAGGCCUGAGUGGGCUCUAUGAGGGGUCCAUUGGGUCAGAGCGACCCCGUGCUAGGAUACACCCACACCUUUCACUCCCCUCACCUCCCCUCUCGCCUGCAGAACCACCUUCUAAAGUAUCUGUCUAAUGGAAGGGGAGGUGCCAGUGUGCUUGGAGCGAGGUCAGCCACCUUGUGUCCCUCUUUGACUGUUGUCUACCCACUCCAAAAUGUGCAGGGUAAAACAACAACGGCUCGCUUUUACCAAGCAACAUUUUCUAAAGAUAAAUAGUUAUGAAAUUAGCAGCCCAGACUCUAGUGUGCAGCCAACAGUCAUUUUAUGCUAUUUUGAAGACAGAAUUCUACAAUAAUAUAAAUAUAGCCUAAUAUAGGUAGGCCCUAAUUGUAAUGACAAUGAUUGGUGUGCUUGCGAUUGACAGAGAAAGA